rnacentral:rRNA from 1 species
UACAGAGGUCUCAAGCGUUGUUCGGAAUCACUGGGCGUAAAGGGUGCGUAGGUGGCGUGGUAAGUCAGAUGUGAAAGCCCGGGGCUCAACCUCGGAAUUGCAUCCGAUACUGCCGUGCUGGAGUACUGAAGAGGUGACUAGAAUUCUCGGUGUAGCAGUGAAAUGCGUAGAUAUCGAGAGGAAUACCAACGGCGAAGGCAGGUCACUGGGCAGUUACUGACACUGAGGCACGAAGGCCAGGGGAGCAAACGGG